rnacentral:lncRNA from 1 species
CACAGUGUUCCUACCCUUGUGGUCUCCCCUGAGCACUACUGCUUAGUUUGUCCCAAAUGAAGUAAAAUAAAGUAUUUCUUUAGCACGGACCCACCCUCUCCCGCCUUUUCUUACAGGAAGCCAGGAGACGGCGCGCCCCUAAGAGAGGACCCCGGCUGUGGGAGAAGAGGAGGGAGCGGGGCGCCCCCGAACCGGCUAAGCCCGUUCGACCCCUACAUGGGGAGCCCAGGUCCCCGGCGACCGGACCCCGAAGCGCACUACUUGCCUGCCAACGCCUUGCUCCGAGGCCCUGGGCGCUGUCUCAGCCGCCCCCCGCCCCCUGG